UGCAGUCGAGCGAAUCGAUUAAGAGCUUGCUCUUAUGAAGUUAGCGGCGGACGGGUGAGUAACACGUGGGUAACCUGCCCAUAAGACUGGGAUAACUCCGGGAAACCGGGGCUAAUACCGGAUAACAUUUUGCACCGCAUGGUGCGAAAUUGAAAGGCGGCUUCGGCUGUCACUUAUGGAUGGACCCGCGUCGCAUUAGCUAGUUGGUGAGGUAACGGCUCACCAAGGCAACGAUGCGUAGCCGACCUGAGAGGGUGAUCGGCCACACUGGGACUGAGACACGGCCCAGACUCCUACGGGAGGCAGCAGUAGGGAAUCUUCCGCAAUGGACGAAAGUCUGACGGAGCAACGCCGCGUGAGUGAUGAAGGCUUUCGGGUCGUAAAACUCUGUUGUUAGGGAAGAACAAGUGCUAGUUGAAUAAGCUGGCACCUUGACGGUACCUAACCAGAAAGCCACGGCUAACUACGUGCCAGCAGCCGCGGGAAUACGUAGGUGGCAAGCGUUAUCCCGGAAUUUUUGGGGCGUAAAGCGCGCGCAGGGGGUUCCUUAAGUCUGAAGU
rnacentral:rRNA from 1 species